CAGUUAAACUCUAAAACCUUAGAAGCAGAUGGAGCAUAAAGAAAAUACUGUGGGAUAAACAACAGUGUGCACCCUAUCUGGAGUUGAGUUUGGUUUUAGCAUCCGCUUUUUGCUGCAUUACCCUCAUUACUUCAAAGAUGUGCUAAGAAAUAUAGGAAAAACCUUGAAACCUUGUUUCUCUCUGACAUGUAUCAUGAAGCCUCCCUGGGACUAAUACCACCUUGUGAAAACUUCAGUUCUCAGAGGAUUCCCGUAACUUAGUGGUGUAGAUGCGUUAUAGUCUCUUUUUUAACCUUAAUUUUCAGGAUUUGGUGCUGGCUUGCCAAGGACUGUCCCAUUGUUCGUGACUGAGCACAGGGAGCAGCCUGCAGCCAAGGUAAUAUUCACUUUGCAUUGACCUUCUGCACUGUUCAGCUCUCAAAGGCAGUCUCUGGGGGAGCACCAGGGCUCACGUAGCAAAGGGGUUGCAGACCCAUUUGCUGUUGACCCUGUGGCCUGUCACCCUUGAUGUCUUCCUCUUGGGUGUCUCAGAGGUGUCUUCCAGCUGCCAUGUUAAGGAAAUUGCCUCGAUUUCACUGAUUCUUUGCUAUGAAGUUCAACCAACAGCCACUGUGUUCCUGGGGAAAUGGAUGCUCUAUGGCCAUUACAGGAUGACAGCACUUUGACCUGAUAGCUAACAAGAAGCAAUAGCUGGUCUAAAAAGUGGAGGCUGUUCUGUUUUAUUCCUUGAAUGCUGCAAUUUCCCAAGAGUGGCUGUAAAGUCAGAAGGUAUGCUUUGCAAUUUGCUAUCGUAUUAAACAGCACUAUUUUCCUCUGUUAUUUUAUCACUUCGACCAAACCCUGGGUAACUGAAAAUUCAGAUGUGUACUAGUCAAAUAGUAAAUCAUAGAAUCA
rnacentral:lncRNA from 1 species